rnacentral:rRNA from 1 species
AUUGAACGCUGGCGGCAUGCUUUACACAUGCAAGUCGAACGGUAACAGGCCGCAAGGUGCUGACGAGUGGCGAACGGGUGAGUAAUGCAUCGGAACGUGCCCAGUCGUGGGGGAUAACUACUCGAAAGAGUAGCUAAUACCGCAUACGAUCUAUGGAUGGAAGCGGGGGACCGUAAGGCCUCGCGCGAUUGGAGCGGCCGAUGUCAGAUUAGGUAGUUGGUGGGGUAAGGGCUCACCAAGCCAACGAUCUGUAGCUGGUCUGAGAGGACGACCAGCCACACUGGGACUGAGACACGGCCCAGACUCCUACGGGAGGCAGCAGUGGGGAAUUUUGGACAAUGGGCGCAAGCCUGAUCCAGCAAUGCCGCGUGCAGGAAGAAGGCCUUCGGGUUGUAAACUGCUUUUGUACGGAACGAAACGGCUCUGGUUAAUACCCGGGGCUAAUGACGGUACCGUAAGAAUAAGCACCGGCUAACUACGUG